GAUGAAGAACGUAGCGAAAUGCGAUAAGUAAUGUGAAUUGCAGAAUUCAGUGAAUCAUCGAAUCUUUGAACGCACCUUGCGCUCCUUGGUAUUCCGAGGAGCAUGCCUGUUUGAGUGUCAUGAAACCCUCAAACCCAAGUUUUGGAUUUCGAUCCAUGCUUGAGUUUGGAUUUGGAUGUUUGCCGGUGAUGAACCGACUCAUCUUAAAAGUAUUAGCUUGGAUCUGUCUAUAUGACUGGUUUGACUUGGCAUAAUAAGUAUUUUGCUGAGGACAUCUUCGGAUGGCCAGGACCUAGACUACUGUCUGCUAACUAAACCAUCACUUUAAGUGCAUCUUUGGAUGUUACUCAUUGUGUAACUUUGACAUCUGGCCUCAAAUCAAGUAGGACUACCCGCUGAACUUAAGCAUAUCAAUAAGCGGAGG
rnacentral:misc_RNA from 1 species